rnacentral:tRNA from 1 species
AAGAGGGUAGUGUCAGUGGUUAGCACAUCGGUCUCCGAAGCCGAAAGCAGAGGUUCAAAUCCUCUUCCUCUUG